UUGCAACCUGAACUCAGGCGUGAUUACCCGCUGAACUUAAGCAUAUCAUUUAGCGGAGGAAAAGAAACUAACAAGGAUUCCCUAGUAACGGCGAGUGAACGGGGAGAAGCCCAGCGCUGAAUCUUUCGGUGUUACACCGUUAAGAAAUGUAGCGUAUAGGUGUGGUUUUCAGUUUGUGCUACUUAUCCAAAGUCCCUUUGAUAGGGGCCACAUUCCCGAGAGGGUGCGAGACCUGUGCGGAUAGUGGAGCAAGCUGUACGAUCAUACCUUGGAGUCGGGUUGCUUGAAAGUGCAGCCUAAAGUGGGUGAUAAACUUCAUCUAAGGCUAAAUAUAGACGCGAAUUCGAUAGCAAACAAGUACUGUGAAGGAAAGUUGCAAAGAACUUUGAAGAGAGAGUUCAAGAGAACGUGAAAUCGCUGGAGUGGAAACGAGAGAGUUGACGUAGUCCGGUGACUAAGUUUGCCGAAAUCGCUUAAUUGUGAUUAAGGUGAAUGUAUGUUGCCUAUGGCUGCGCUGACAGCACUGGUUGUACGUUCCGAACCGUUUUCGUUGCCCAAUUUUCGAAUUGGUGUCUUGUUUACGGGUAGGUUUGUUAUGACUAGUGUUUUAUCCUGUUUUAUGCAGGGUGUCAGUGUGAAGGUCGACCACCUCUCCGACCCGUCUUGAAACACGGACCGAGGAGUGUAACUUGUACGCGAGUCAAAGGGUGGAAAACCCCAAGGCGCAAUGAAAGUAAAGGUCGGUUAACCGACUGACAUGGGAUCCGUUUCGUUUUGAAGCGGCGCACCAUGGCCCUGUCUUGUCUGCUUGCAGAUGGGCAGCGGUAGAGCGUACAGGUUGCGACCCGAAAGAUGGUGAACUAUGCCUGAGCAGGACGAAGUCAGAGGAAACUCUGGUGGAAGUCCGUAUCGGUUCUGACGUGCAAAUCGAUCGAUAGACUUGGGUAUAGGGGCGAAAGACUAAUCGAACCAUCUAGUAGCUGGUUCCUCCGAAGUUUCCCCCAGGAUAGCUGGAGUUCAUUGCGGUUAUAUCCGGUAAAGCGAAUGAUUAGAGGACUUGGGGUCGAAACGACCUCAACCUAUUCUCAAACUUUCAAUGGGUAUGUUGUCUCGGUUUCUUUGUUGAACUGUUGACACGAACGCGAACUCCAAGUGGGCCAUUUUGGUAAGCAGAACUGGCGCUGUGGGAUGAACCAAACGUUGGGUUAAGGUGCCUAACUUUUCGCUCAUGAGACCCCAUAAAAGGCGUUGGUUGAUAUAGACAGCAGGACGGUGGCCAUGGAAGUCGGUACCCGCUAAGGAGUGUGUAACAACUCACCUGCCGAAUCAACUAGCCCUGAAAAUGGAUGGCGCUUGAGCGAGAGACCUAUACCCAACCGUUGCUGGCUUGUGCGUGCCUGUCGCCUGGCUGCAACGAGUAGGAGGGUCGUGGCGGUUGCGUCGAAGGUUUUGGGCGUAGGCCCAACUGGAGCUUCCGUCAGUGCAGAUCUCGGUGGUAGUAGCAAAUAUUUAAGUUCGAUCCUUGAAGACUGAAGUGGAGAAGGGUUCCACGUGAACAGUAGUUGAAUGUGGGUCAGUCGAUCCUAAGAUACUGGCUUAUGCCUUGUAUCAUCGAGAGGGAAAAGUCUCUUUUCUCUCGGAUAUCAAAAGGAAUAGGUUAAUAUUCCCUAACGCAGACACAGAGAUUGUGGCUCUUACGAGUCACUUGCGCGGUAACGCAUUCGAACUUGGUUACGUCGCUCAGAGACCGAGCUAGAGUUCUCUUCUCUAGUUAAGGAACGGACUCCUGGAAUCGGUUCAGCCGUAGAUAGGGACGUUGUUUCCGUAAAGCAUCGCGGUUUCUGUGAUGUCUCGUGUUCUCUGGACGGCCCUUGAAAAACCAAGGAGGCUAUUAAUCUGUGCUGCAUCGUACCGAUAUCCGCAUCAGGUCUCCAAGGUGAACAGCCUCUAGUCGAUAGAAUAAUGUAGGUAAGGGAAGUCGGCAAAUUAGAUCCGUAACUUCGGGAAAAGGAUUGGCUCCAGUGACCGGGUCGGUUGGCUUGUUAACUGAUGCUUGUGCGGUUUCGUCCGUGGCUGGCUGAUACUAACGUUGAUGCUGGACUAGUGACAUGACUGCCUUGUGGACGUUUUCAGGUGUGUGCUUUGUCUUCGGACUUAGUAUCCUGAUCGACCAUCAAAACGGUCGAACUGGAACUGGUACGGACUCGGGAAUCCGACUGUCUAAUUAAAACAGAGGAGACAGAUGGUCCUUGCGGACGUUUACUGUCUCUGAUUUCUGCCCAGUGCUCUGAAUGUUAAAUCGUAGUAAUUCGAGUAAGCGAGAGAGGGCCCGCAAGCGCCUUAUUUGAGGCGACUUCCACCAAGCUCUGCUUCGAGGCUGAACGAGCAUAACGCUCAAAACCUACGACUUAACCGACAACGAGGAGGCGCGAGGUCAACGCAAGAGCUGCGCGAUCUUUACGAAUACAGCGAAUUGAAAAGGAUCAUUAGACGAUACACGGAAAGACGACGCGGAUGCCCGGCAGUCGCGAAGGAGCCUAGAGAUUCAGCAAUCCAAACGCCUGUGGAAGAGGUGAGAGAUUACUGGAAGGAGAUAGUCGGAAGACACGAACCUUUCACACCCUCAUCAGAACUGGUGGGUUGGUCUCGAGGAGAGGGCAGACCACCGGAGAAAACUCAUGGAAGUUGAAACGUGGAAGGACGCGGGUCCCGAUGGUAUAAAGGAUUUUGAUGGAAGCACCUUCCAAAGACUAAAUUAAGGCUUAAACAAAGGUGCGAGUAUGUAACAAACAAGCCUCGAAAAGCGAUAACCAGGUGGCUAUGCCGAUGCAGGACGGUAUUGAUGCUCAAAGUAAAGGGAGGUCAACGCGGUCCCGGAGACUUUAGACUAUUGCAUGUUUGAACACAUGCUGCAAAAUACUAUUGA
rnacentral:rRNA from 1 species